CUUAAUAUCCGCAAAGACAGGUAGCUACUCUCAUUACGUGCCACGUAUUUCUUAACGAUCCCAACCGCCAAAAGAAGCAAGGAAAGCCUUGUUUGUUGAUUUUGCCUCGCUUUCUCUGCUCUCCGUUCUGAAGUGUUUCCUUUAAGACCACACACGCACACAGACCUCGGAAGAGAGUCUUGUUAGGAGUUCAAAACAAGAACAUGUCAGCAAACCCAUCAAAGAUAACCAGAAAACAAUAUUUGGCUUUCAAGACUAACUGCUUCUCUUUCCAGCCUUCCCAAAAAAAUCGUUGGCUUUGAGAAUUCCGAGUGGAUCAAGUAGAGAUGGAGAAGAGAGUGUAAUUAGGUGUUCAAAAGAAGAGCAAUCCCAUUAAGAAAAACAAGAACAGGUUCCUCGAGAAAAUUGUGGACUUCAUGAAAUUUGAUUCUUACAUGUUUUCUCCUUUCAUCUCGACACCACAUAUUGCUUCAAAGACCAGCUCUUCGUCUACUACAGCUCUAGCGUCAAUGAACAAGUAUUGGACGUUUCCUAUUAUUAAGAAAUUUGAUUGGAAGAGUAACAAGGUGGAAUAGUAUCAACAAAUGAAUGCAUGAUGUACCAACGUGUAUAUACAAGAGAGGUAUCAAAGUAUCUCCCAGUUAUUCAGAGUGCUAUCCCGUUUUUUUAUUCCAUCUGAGCUUCUCAAUAAAUCACAGCCUAUAUAUGCAAAUUGCUUGUCCAAGAACUUAGCUCAUUUAACAACACUAAGGAGAGUUAAGGAGAGCAAAUCAUCCCAAUCAAUGGAUUUUCCAUUCAAAACCUUGGCAUUCCUUGGCAACCGAAUGGACCAAAAUGGUGAAAGUAGAACCAAGAGCCACAUUUUCUUGUGCAUUUUCCCAUGAGCAUGCAUACUCCACUGCUGAAAUAGGCCAUCCACUGUUCUAGACAUCACCCACGAGCAUCCCCACCAAUUGAAAGAUCUUGACCACAGCUGCAAGACCUGUUGGUAGUGAAGGAAAAGAUGGGCCACCGUCUCCUGAUACUCACCACAAAUAGAGCAGAGUCUUGCUGGAAAAUCAAGAACUCCAAUGCGCCAUAGAUGCUCCCUUGUUUGAAGGUUCUCAAGUGCAGCUAAUCAUAGAAAAGCCUCCACUUUUGGAGAAGCUAUUGACUUCCAAACGUCUUCAAAUUGGUAUUCUGAUACAGAAUUGAUAUGGACAUGCAAGGUGGUUGUAGAGUGUUUGUGAUUCACAAUGACACUUUUAUCACAGAAUUAUUUGAAGCAAAAGCUUAACCCAUUUUUUUGUUUCUAAUUUCAUAUCUCAAAUCGAUAUAUGCUAGUGUAUGGUUCAAGUUACUCCAGCUUCCAGACCAUGGAACAUUAUGGUGUUUGUUGCAUGUUUUCUUUCAUUUUAUAUCUGCUAGUGCAACUCCAUAUGGUUUUGCAUUAUGUUCAAAUAACAACGCCCUUGAACAGUGAUCAUGCAGCCUCUUUUGCCUGCUUUAUCUCUAUAAUUAGUACAAAGCUGUAAGAGUAGAUGGAUCAUGUUAGUGAUGUAUGAACUUACUCAGAUCAUUCCAAU